GCUAUAGCUCCCUAAUAGCAGAACUUCACACAGAUUUCAGGAGUGCAGCAGUAAAACAUUAGAAAUCCUUACUUGGCUGAUUGAUGAGACAGAGAUGGAGCAAAAGAGCCUUUGGUGCCUCAGCAUUACCUCUGACAACUUGGUGGAUCCUGUUUAUCACUAAUCAUCAAACAGAGAUACAACAGCAGCAAUAUGUCUUGCUCCAGGAGAUGUAACUUGGUCCGAAGAAAAACAAGUACUAAAAUCUGACAAUGCUCUGCAGAAGACAGUGUCUUUUCUCUGCCCAUUUCUUAUACUGCUUG